AUGCAGUCGAGCGGAAACGACACUAACAAUCCUUCGGGUGCGUUAAUGGGCGUCGAGCGGCGGACGGGUGAGUAAUGCCUAGGAAAUUGCCUUGAUGUGGGGGAUAACCAUUGGAAACGAUGGCUAAUACCGCAUAAUGCCUACGGGCCAAAGAGGGGGACCUUCGGGCCUCUCGCGUCAAGAUAUGCCUAGGUGGGAUUAGCUAGUUGGUGAGGUAAUGGCUCACCAAGGCGACGAUCCCUAGCUGGUCUGAGAGGAUGAUCAGCCACACUGGAACUGAGACACGGUCCAGACUCCUACGGGAGGCAGCAGUGGGGAAUAUUGCACAAUGGGCGAAAGCCUGAUGCAGCCAUGCCGCGUGUAUGAAGAAGGCCUUCGGGUUGUAAAGUACUUUCAGUUGUGAGGAAGGGGGUAGCGUUAAUAGCGCUAUCUCUUGACGUUAGCAACAGAAGAAGCACCGGCUAACUCCGUGCCAGCAGCCGCGGUAAUACGGAGGGUGCGAGCGUUAAUCGGAAUUACUGGGCGUAAAGCGCAUGCAGGUGGUUCAUUAAGUCAGAUGUGAAAGCCCGGGGCUCAACCUCGGAACUGCAUUUGAAACUGGUGAACUAGAGUACUGUAGAGGGGGGUAGA
rnacentral:rRNA from 1 species